GUGCUCGCUUCGGCGGCACAUACACGAAAAUUGGAAUGAUACGGAGAAAUUAGCAUGGCCCCUGCACAAGGAUGACAUGCAAAUUCAUGAAGCAUUCCAUAUUUCA
ensembl:snRNA U6 U6 spliceosomal RNA